rnacentral:rRNA from 1 species
CGGACGGGUGAGUAACGCGUGGGUAACCUGCCUCAUACAGGGGGAUAACGGUUAGAAAUGACUGCUAAUACCGCAUAAGCGCACAGUACCGCAUGGUACGGUGUGAAAAACUCCGGUGGUAUGAGAUGGACCCGCGUCUGAUUAGCUAGUUGGUGGGGUAACGGCCCACCAAGGCGACGAUCAGUAGCCGACCUGAGAGGGUGACCGCCCACAUUGGGACUGAGACACGGCCCAG